AGAGUUUGAUCCUGGCUCAGAUUGAACGCUGGCGGCAUGCCUUACACAUGCAAGUCGAACGGCAGCGCGGGAGCAAUCCUGGCGGCGAGUGGCGAACGGGUGAGUAAUACAUCGGAACGUGCCCAAUCGUGGGGGAUAACGCAGCGAAAGCUGUGCUAAUACCGCAUACGAUCUACGGAUGAAAGCAGGGGAUCGCAAGACCUUGCGCGAAUGGAGCGGCCGAUGGCAGAUUAGGUAGUUGGUGAGGUAAAGGCUCACCAAGCCUUCGAUCUGUAGCUGGUCUGAGAGGACGACCAGCCACACUGGGACUGAGACACGGCCCAGACUCCUACGGGAGGCAGCAGUGGGGAAUUUUGGACAAUGGGCGAAAGCCUGAUCCAGCCAUGCCGCGUGCAGGAUGAAGGCCUUCGGGUUGUAAACUGCUUUUGUACGGAACGAAAAGGUCUUUUCUAAUAAAGAAGGCUCAUGACGGUACCGUAAGAAUAAGCACCGGCUAACUACGUGCCAGCAGCCGCGGUAAUACGUAGGGUGCAAGCGUUAAUCGGAAUUACUGGGCGUAAAGCGUGCGCAGGCGGUUAUAUAAGACAGUUGUGA
rnacentral:rRNA from 1 species